GCUGAAAGUCUUCAAGCCAUGUUGAUAAAUCUAUCAAACAUGUUCUACUACAACUCUAUUGCUGGGAAUGUUUAUUUAAAUAUUGUAAUUUACUGAAUCCAUGGCAAAGAGAUCAAAAGUUUUGUAUAAAUAAUUCACAUGGUAUGUAUCAACAUCUCAACAACAUAUGAGUGACAAUCAACACUUCACAGAAACUGGGUGUUCUCAAAAUAAAAUCCUUGAUACUGUUACACAAACCAAAUGGAAAAUUUAUACAUUUGAAAUCGAGUUACAUUUGCGACUUUCCUAAACAUUUGAAUAAAAACUUCCGAGUCUUUGAAGAAAGUGGGAUGAUUUAUUUAUGGUGGCGUUUGAAGUUUAUCUACUGUUGAAAUCGUUGUUUAGUUGUGGAUGAACUAUCUGAGACAGUGAUUUUCUCACCAGUUGCUCUUUUGUUUCACAGCUUGUUUUCAAUUUUCUUCCAUUAUACAAGAGUUCUGAGAUGAGAUGAAACGAUAAUUUCAAGACAUCUUCAUUUAUUGAUGUGAUUGAAUGAUAAGAUAGCAGUGUGAAACCAAAUACUCAAUAGUGGGCUGCCAUAUAGUACAAGUCUUUUUACUUGUGGUGCCAGCUUUAUUAUUAAAAACAAUAAACUUGUCAUUUUUUUGUGUUUUAUCAUUGAUCUAAAAAAACAUUAUUCUCAAAAAUAUUUCAUUAUGACAAUCCAGAGAAGACAAAACUUCAUAACUUAUUACAAAUAAAACCUUUUUAACCA